rnacentral:rRNA from 1 species
UUUAUAAAUUAUGAUUAAUUAUUAUUAAUUAAAAAUAAUUGAUAUUAUAAAUUAUUAUAAAUAAAUAAAAAAUUAUUUUGAAUAAAUUAUUUUUUUUAAAUAAAGUAAUAUAUUAAAAUUUAAUUGUUUAAGUAUAAAUUAAGAAAAAAUUUUUUAAAUAUUAACUUAAAGUAAUGAAAAUGAAAAUUUUAAAUAAAUUAAAAAUAGAUUUAAUUAAUUGUACCUUUUGUAUCAGGGUUAAUUAAAUAAAAUAUUUUAAUUAAAUAUUUCUCGAAUUUAAAAGAUUUAAUUAAAAAUUUUAGUUAAUGUAGAAUUAUCAUUAAUAAUUUUUAAUUAGAAGUGAAAUGUUAAUCGAUUUUAAAUAUAUCUAGUUUUUUUAGAAUUGAAUAUAAUUCAGUCUUAUAAAUUAUUUUUAAUUAAUUUAUUAUUAGAUUAUUAUAAAUAAUUGAUUUAUAAGAUAAAUAUUUUUGGGAUAAACUAAAAAUAUAUUAAAUAUUAGUUUUAAUUAUAAAAUUUAUUAUAUAAAUAUUCAUAAGAUUUGAAUUUUUUAUUAAAAAUGUUAUAAUUUAUAAAUAAAUACUAUUAUAAUUUUUUAAAAAUUUUAUUUUUAUAAAAAAAAAUUAUUUAAUAAUUAGAUAAAGGAUAUAAUGAUUAAAUUAGUAAAAUUUUAUUAAUGUAAUUUUUUUUUUUUUUUGAAAAAAUUAAUUUAAGGAAUUCAACAAAUAUUUUUAAAAAUAAAAUAUAUAUUCACCUGUUUAUCAAAAACAUGUCCUGUAGAAUAUUAAUAUCAGGUUUACUCUGCCCAUUGAAUAUAGAUUUUAAAAGGCUGCAGUAUAUUGACUGUACAAAGGUAGCAAAAUCAAUAGUUUUUUAAUUGGAAACUGGAAUGAAAGAGUGGAUGAAAUAUAAGUUGUCUCAAUAUAAUUAUUUGAAUUUAAAUUAAAAGUUAAAAUGCUUUUAUAUAAUUAUUAGACGAGAAGACCCUAUAGAAUUUUAUAAAAUUUAUUUUCUAAAUUAUUUUUGUUUUUUAUAUUUAUUAAAUAAUUAUAUUUUACUGGGAGGGUAAUUAAAUUUAAUUAACUUUAAUACAAUUUUACAUAGAUAAAUGAAAUUUUGAUUAUUAUUAUAAUUAUUAGAAUAAAUUACCUUAGGGAUAACAGCGUAAUAAUUUUGGAGAGUUCAUAUCGAUAAAAUUGUUUGCGACCUCGAUGUUGAAUUAUGAUAAAAAUUAAAUGGAGAUAUUUAAAAUUUUAGUCUGUUCGACUAUUAAAAUCAUACAUGAUUUGAGUUCAGAUCGGUGUAAGCCAGAUCGGUUUCUAUCUAUAAUAAAAAUAUAUUUUAUUGUACGAAAGGACUUAAAAUAUUAAAAAAUUUAUAUUUAAAUUUAUUAAAAUAAUAAUAAAUUAUUGAAUAAAAUUAAAUUAAUAAUUAAU